rnacentral:lncRNA from 1 species
UUAUCCAACUAUUUCUAGCUGUUUAGUUUAUAUUGCCGCACUUGCUAAUUUGUUUGUUGAUUUUAACGAGGGAGGGGAAAUUUAUGAAAUAGCAAUAACUGAAAUGAAAAAGAAGUUUAAAAAAUAUUUUUUUCUAAUCCCUCCUAUAUUUGGUGUGUCUGCUAUGCUAAAUCCUACUAUGAAAUUAGGAGGUCCUCAGUUUUGGUAUUCUACUAUUUAUCAAGCUUUAGAUCUUGAAGAAGUAAAAAUGGCUACACUAUCUGAUCCGAAAGCAUCAAUUAAAGUGAAUGCUCAAACUGUUUAUAAUGCUUAUAACAGGCGUUAGAGCAUGCUAGGCCAAAUAUUCCAACCCCAACUUCGUCCACAUCACAGGC